AACCUGGUUGAUCCUGCCAGUAGUCCUUUGAAUGUCUCAAAGAUUAAGCCAUGCAUGUCUAAGUAUACUUUACUACACAGUAAAACUGCGAAUGGCUCAUUAGAACAGUUAUAGUUUAUUUGAUACAUUAAAUGGAUAACUGUAGGAAACUAGAGCUAAUACAUGCCUAGGCCGUAAGGCUGCAUUUAUUAGAUAUACCAAGCCGGUGAAUCAUAAUAACUUAGCAAAUCGAUACUACGUGUCGAUAAAUCAUUCAAGUUUCUGACCUAUCAGCUCUCGAUGGUAGUGUAUUGGACUACCAUGGCAGUCACGGGUAACGGAGAAUUAGGGUUCGAUUCCGGAGAAGGAGCCUGAGAAACGGCUACUACAUCUAAGGAUGGCAGCAGGCGCGUAAAUUACCCAAUCCUAAAUCAGGGAGGUAGUGACAAGAUAUAACAACGCGAGUAAAAAUCGCGAUUGUAGUGAGGGUAUUCUAAAAAUAGCUUCGAGUACGAUUGGAGGGCAAGUCUGGUGCCAGCAGCCGCGGUAAUUCCAGCUCCAAUAGCGUAUAUUAAAGUUGUUGCAGUUAAAAAGCUCGUAGUUGGAUUUCAAGAAAAGCAAGGGGCAACCCAUCUGCUUUCUACCAGUCAUUGACUGUUACUGUGAGAAAAUUAGAGUGUUUCAAGCAGGCAUUUGCAGGAAUACAUUAGCAUGGAAUAACGAAUGUAUCUACAAUUUGGUUGAUUGUAGAUUUCGAUUAAUAGGGACAGGUGGGGGCA
rnacentral:rRNA from 1 species